UACGUAGGGGGCAAGCGUUGUCCGGAAUUAUUGGGCGUAAAGAGCUCGUAGGCGGUUUGUCGCGUCGAAUGUGAAAACCCGGGGCUCAACCCCGGGCCUGCAUUCGAUACGGGCAGACUAGAGUUCGGUAGGGGAGACUGGAAUUCCUGGUGUAGCGGUGAAAUGCGCAGAUAUCAGGAGGAACACCGAUGGCGAAGGCAGGUCUCUGGGCCGAUACUGACGCUGAGGAGCGAAAGCGUGGGGAGCGAACAGG
rnacentral:rRNA from 1 species